UAUAGUUCAUUUAAUGUAACGGAAGUGGAAGAGAAUGAGAACAGGGUAGUGUUAAUCUGGCUAAUUAAGGCCCCACUCUGCCAUAAUUUAUUUUUUCAUUGGACAACGUCGACGAGCAAAAGACGGAAUGCUCUGCGCAUGCGUAACCUUGGAUGACUUAUAAACUUCCUGUGGUGAGUCAGACGGAAAUUUGGAAAAUUUGCGCAACAUUCAGCGUUCGGGAUUUAUAUUUGGGACAAAGAAACGACUUACAAUCACCGAAGAAACAAGUAAAAGAAGCGGAACUAUCAAAUCAAGAAAGGAUACACAAUGAGUGAAGUUAGCACAGGAAAAGACGAUGCGGUACAGAAUGGCAAUGUAAAAUAUUCCCAGGUAUCUGGUAAAGAUGAAUGCAUUCAGAUGCCUGAAAACCUGGAGAAAAAUCACGCAGCAAGCGACCACGAGGACCAUGUGGAUGAGAGGACACACCUCCAGGUGACGAGUGACAGCGAGGAGGCCCGAAAACUCGAGGAUGUGAAAAUCUCUGACAUUGAUGAGCCUUACGCUCCUCCUUAUAAACAGACAACUUCUGCUUACGAGAAACCAACCCACUACCCUGUGAAAGGGGGACGCUUGAAGAGGCCAAAAUCCUACAUUGUGUUCGCCUGGAUUUCGAUCAUCCUUAACCCCCUUUUUGGGAUUGUCGCAAUUUGCUUAUCAUGUAAGUAUUUGUAAACCCUUGGCCUCUCAUAUC